UUUCCAAGGACUCAGGCCGAUGGAUGGAUACAAAUGCUGGUGAGGCAAGACCAAGAUGAAGCAAGAGCCUUGCUGAAGCAAGGCAUGUGGAGGAGAGCUGGAAGUCACUUAUAGCCUGUGCACAGGGGGAACGCUUAUCACAAACAAUGCUGAUUGCAAAAUGGAAAAAUCUAAAACAAAAGCACAUGUUCAAGUCUCCCAGAGAGACCCAACUCAGAGAGAGGAAGUCACCUUAACCCCUGCUUACAGAUGGAACUGGAACUCCUACAUACAGUAAUAAGGUACUUGAAUCCUGGUCUUGUGAAAGAACGACUGUUCCUCUUGACAGGUCUCUUGAGACCCUACUUAAAGAGACAAAACUUAGAAUUGGACAUCUUGUGGCUUCUAGAAGACCUUGACAUUGUUCUUGAAAGUUUCUUGAACUGAAAACCAAAAGCACAGGUAACAAAAACAAAAGAUAUGUAGAUACGUAGGACC